AGGAAAUAACAACCACUGCAUCUGCAGAUUUUCAAGAUAAGAAAAUGCAAUAAAAGGCCUAAGUGUUGACAAGGCCUAAGGCUGUGUUUUUGCCGCGGAUUUUAUAACGCGCGGUAGUAAUUGACAAUUAGAGGUUAACCUGCAGAGGGCAAUCCACACGCGAAAGGAUUAUCUGUUUAAUUGGUUGUUUUAUCUGGCACACGUGUCCAAUGUUUCCUUUUGGUUUGGCAGACGAUCAGUAUUGUUGGCAUGGUGACAAAGAAGACAUGUACGCGCUCCUCCAAAUCCCAUGGAACACAACAUAGGCGGAGAAAGUACAUUAGACGAGAACUUGGAAUGUAACAAAAAACUACAGCACCCAGAAUUAAAUAAAAUUGAACCAAAAGAAUAAAAUCCACUAAAUUAUA